CCUACGGGAGGCAGCAGUCGAGAAUCAUUCACAAUGGGGGAAACCCUGAUGGUGCGACGCCGCGUGGGGGAAUGAAGGUCUUCGGAUUGUAAACCCCUGUCAUGUGGGAGCAAAUUAAAAAGAUAGUACCACAAGAGGAAGAGACGGCUAACUCUGUGCCAGCAGCCGCGGUAAUACAGAGGUCUCAAGCGUUGUUCGGAAUCACUGGGCGUAAAGCGUGCGUAGGCUGUUUCGUAAGUCGUGUGUGAAAGGUGCGGGCUCAACCCGCGGACGGCACAUGAUACUGCGAGACUAGAGUAAUGGAGGGGGAACCGGAAUUCUCGGUGUAGCAGUGAAAUGCGUAGAUAUCGAGAGGAACACUCGUGGCGAAGGCGGGUUCCUGGACAUUAACUGACGCUGAGGCACGAAGGCCAGGGGAGCGAAAGGGAUUAGAUACCCGUGUAGUC
rnacentral:rRNA from 1 species